UACAGAGGGUGCGAGCGUUAAUCGGAAUUACUGGGCGUAAAGCGCGCGUAGGCGGCUUGGUAUGUCGGGUGUGAAAUCCCCGGGCUCAACCUGGGAACUGCAUCCGAAACUGCCUUGCUAGAGUAUGGGAGAGGGAAGUGGAAUUUCCGGUGUAGCAGUGAAAUGCGUAGAUAUCGGAAGGAACAUCAGUGGCGAAGGCGACUUCCUGGACCAAUACUGACGCUCAAGUGAGAAAGCGUGGGGAGUAAACAGG
rnacentral:rRNA from 1 species